rnacentral:rRNA from 1 species
GAUGAACGCUGGCGGCGUGCUUAACACAUGCAAGUCGAACGAAGCAUUUGCGACAGAUUUUUUCGGAAUGAAGUUCUUAUGACUGAGUGGCGGACGGGUGAGUAACGCGUGGGUAACCUGCCUUGUACUGGGGGAUAGCAGCUGGAAACGGCUGGUAAUACCGCAUAAGCGCACAAUGUUGCAUGACAUGGUGUGAAAAACUCCGGUGGUAUAAGAUGGACCCGCGUCUGAUUAGCUAGUUGGUGAGAUAACAGCCCACCAAGGCGACGAUCAGUAGCCGACCUGAGAGGGUGACCGGCCACAUUGGGACUGAGACACGGCCCAGACUCCUACGGGAGGCAGCAGUGGGGAAUAUUGCACAAUGGAGGAAACUCUGAUGCAGCGACGCCGCGUGAGUGAAGAAGUAAUUCGUUAUGUAAAGCUCUAUCAGCAGGGAAGAUAGUGACGGUACCUGACUAAGAAGCUCCGGCUAAAUACGUG